AUUGAACGCUGGCGGAAUGCUUUACACAUGCAAGUCGAACGGCAGCACGGGGGCAGCCCUGGUGGCGAGUGGCGAACGGGUGAGUAAUACAUCGGAACGUGCCCGGUCGUGGGGGAUAACGUAGCGAAAGUUACGCUAAUACCGCAUACGGUCUGAGGAUGAAAGCGGGGGACCUUCGGGCCUCGCGCGAUCGGAGCGGCCGAUGUCAGAUUAGGUAGUUGGUGGGGUAAAGGCCUACCAAGCCGACGAUCUGUAGCUGGUCUGAGAGGACGACCGGCCACACUGGGACUGAGACACGGCCCAGACUCCUACGGGAGGCAGCAGUGGGGAAGUUUGGACAAUGGGCGCAAGCCUGAUCCAGCCAUUCCGCGUGCAGGACGAAGGCCUUCGGGUUGUAAACUGCUUUUGUACGGAACGAAAAGGCUCUGGCUAAUACCUGGGGCUCAUGACGGUACCGUAAGAAUAAGCACCGGCUAACUACGUG
rnacentral:rRNA from 1 species